rnacentral:rRNA from 2 species
CUCAACGGAUAAAAGCUACCCUGGGGAUAACAGGCUUAUCACUCCCAAGAGUUCACAUCGACGGAGUGGUUUGGCACCUCGAUGUCGGCUCAUCGCAUCCUGGGGCUGAAGUAGGUCCCAAGGGUUGGGCUGUUCGCCCAUUAAAGCGGUACGCGAGCUGGGUUCAGAACGUCGUGAGACAGUUCGGUCCCUAUCCGGCGCGGGCGUAGGAUAUUUGAGAGGAGCUGCCCUUAGUACGAGAGGACCGGGGUGGACUGGCCUCUGGUGUAUCUGUUGARCYAUCAAGYUCAUGGCAGAGUAGCCAAGCCGGGACGGGAUAAACGCUGAAGGCAUCUAAGCGUGAAGCCCCCCUCAAGAUGAGAUAUCCCAUACGCAAGUAGUAAGACCCCUUGAAGACGACGAGGUAGAUAGGGCAGAGGUGGAAGCGUAGUAAUACGUGAAGCUGACUGUUACUAAUCGGUCGAGGGCUUAACCAAAA